rnacentral:lncRNA from 1 species
GUGAAUUGCCAUUACUCUGCAGCUGUCUUUGAGUUGGAUUUAUGGGACUGCACUGUCCACACCGCUGCCAUCUGUACAUAGCUCUGAGCCACUGUGGGAUCUGGAGUGACUAAGGUGCCUGGGCUGGCCAGGGACUGACUGUACCUGCUGGUGUGGCUGGGGGUCUGCAGAUAUCCUUGAAGCUAGGUGAUUUUAUGACCUUGAAGUCCCUCUAGGUGACUGCAGCUGUGGCUCAGUGUGUAUGCUUCUUAGGUGUAUGAGUGGUGUUCACGCAUCUGUCCUUAGCCGUGGGUGUGCCUGAGGCUGCAUGUGCAUGACGACACAUUAGGCUAGUGUCUGGAUGAAGUUCCUCUGUGGCCCAGUCACAAGGCAGUGAAAUUGGUGAACUUUGGUGCCUGACGUCGACAGCGCGCAUGAUGGGGAGAGUGGUUGGUGCCCUGCUCCAUGUGGCUGUUGGUGUGUCUGCCUCUGUGGGCAGCGCAGACAUGCACACACCCGCACCUGAGAAGCUGUGUCUGAGCCAGUCUUAUCUGUCCCCAGCUGGUGAGGUGCUGCUGCCACUGGGCUGAGGGCAGAGCUGACUCAGCCCUGAUGGGCAAAGUCUGCGAUGGGGUGAGAGAUAGCGGGCAAAGUGGUGGUUAGAGGGUUGUUUGUGUAUUCACAUGGUUGAGUUAUUCAUUUAGAGUUUGUUUGUGG